rnacentral:rRNA from 1 species
UACGUAGGGUGCGAGCGUUAAUCGGAAUUACUGGGCGUAAAGCGUGCGCAGGCGGUUCUCCAAGUCCGUUGUGAAAGCCCCGGGCUCAACCUGGGAAUGGCAGUGGAAACUAGGGGACUGGAAUCUGGCAGAGGGGGGUGGAAUGCCGCGUGUAGCAGUGAAAUGCGUAGAGAUGCGGCGGGACACCGAUGGCGAAGGCAGCCCCCUGGGCUGAGAUUGACGCUCAGGCACGAAAGCGUGGGGAGCAAACAGG